GCCGGCGUAGUGAUAACGGCAGCACGGCCCCUUGGUAGGGGGCCAGUCGAGGUUCGAUUCCUCGCGCCGGCUCCA
rnacentral:tRNA from 1 species